GAUGUGACAGACCAGGGGUGGAGUGAUGUGACAGACCAGAGGUGGAGUGAUGUGACAGACCAGAGGUGGAGUGAUGUGACAGACCAGGGGUGGAGUGAUGUGACAGACCAGGGGUGGAGUGAUGUGACAGACCAGAGGUGGAGUGAUGUGACAGACCAGGGGUGGAGUGACGUGACAGACCAGGGGUGGAGUGAUGUGACAGACCAGAGGUGGAGUGAUGUGACAGACCAGGGGUGGAGUGAUGUGACAGACCAGAGGUGGAGUGAUGUGACAGACCAGAGGUGGAGUGAUGUGACAGACCAGGGGUGGAGUGAUGUGACAGACCAGAGGUGGAGUGAUGUGACAGACCAGGGGUGGAGUGAUGUGACAGACCAGAGGUGGAGUGAUGUGAUGUGACAGACCAGGGGUGGAGUGAUGUGACAGACCAGAGGUGGAGUGAUGUGACAGACCAGGGGUGGAGUGACGUGACAGACCAGGGGUGGAGUGAUGUGACAGACCAGGGGUGGAGUGAUGUGACAGACCAGGGGUGGAGUGAUGUGACAGACCAGGGGUGGAGUGACGUGACAGACCAGGGGUGGAGUGACGUGACAGACCAGAGGUGGAGUGAUGUGAUGUGACAGACCAGGGGUGGAGUGAUGUGAUGUGACAGACCAGGGGUGGAGUGAUGUGACAGACCAGGGGUGGAGUGACGUGACAGACCAGGGGUGGAGUGACGUGACAGACCAGGGGUGGAGUGACGUGACAGACCAGGGGUGGAGUGACGUGACAGACCAGAGGUGGAGUGAUGUGACAGACCAGAGGUGGAGUGAUGUGACAGACCACUUAGUGGACAGCAAGAAUGACUCGCAUAGCCACUAAUAUCCCUAAUCCUGAACCAGGUGGAGUGACUCUCGUAUCCCUGACCUAUCACAAGCCAGGUGGAGUGACUCUCGUAUCCCUGACCUAUCACAACCCAGGUGGACAGGUUGACACAGGACUGUCAGUCUGAGGUGGAGGACCGGGGAAUGUGUCAGAUACCUGGGCGGUGUUCAUUAGGGCACAACUGUAGCAAAACAUUCUGCAAUGGAAAACAAUGUGUUCUUAUGAGACGAAUUCAGGUACUGCUCCCUUGUUUUCCCCCAAUUGAACAGGCCCCUCUUGUCUACAGUGGGACAGAAAGGUACAAAGUUGACAAUUUUUUUUACUGAAUAUAUAGAUUGAACGAACUGAAUUUGAUUUAAAGCUCAAUCCAGUCUUGUGUGUAAAUAGUGGCAGUCAUUUAAAAUAUUCUGUAUUAAUCUGGACGAAGUUGAUGCAUUCAUGAAUCUCACCACAUACCGUUGAAUCUCAGAUAUUUUAUUAAAUGGUCAAAUAAUCCA